ncrna:unclassified sequences DTF3800-XI RNA
UGAACUGGUCGAAGGACCCAGGUUCAACUUAAUUAGGCGGGCAGACUGAUC